CCUAAGACCAACCUUUGGAUAUUUGACUUGGUAACAAAAUGCUAUCUGCAAACGUAACGUCAGACAUAACUUUAGUUUACAGCAUAGCAGC